rnacentral:rRNA from 1 species
UAUUCCCGUACUUGGUGUUACUGCGAAGGGGGGACGGAGAAGGCUAUGUUGGCCGGGCGACGGUUGUCCCGGUUUAAGCGUGUAGGCUGGUUUUCCAGGCAAAUCCGGAAAAUCAAGGCUGAGGCGUAACGACGAGGCACUACGGUGCUGAAGCAACAAAUGCCCUGCUUCCAGGAAAAGCCUCUAAGCAUCAGGUAACAUCAAAUCGUACCCCAAACCGACACAGGUGGUCAGGUAGAGAAUACCAAGGCGCUU